CUGCUCAGUGGGAAAAUCAACCGGAAGAUGUGCAGCAGUCAUAACAACACAGAGGUAAACUCUUCUCUUUAAACUGGUGGAAGUACUGCAACAUCCAUUCUCUUGCACUCAUGAAACAAAAUCAGUGUCUGAAGUAAGUGGCUUGUUGGUGUGUGCUGCAGGCAUGAUAGCAAGGUAGGUGGAAUGUGUUGGCCAGGACAAAGGGAGACCCUGUGUGGUGGCAGUGGGUAAUGGAGUUCUGCUUUGCUUUUAUUUUUAAUUCAUGUUAUUUAUCAUUUUAUUUUUUUUUUUUUUACUUGUUUACAAUCUAUAGAUCUAAAUGGGCUUAAAUGAGUAAUUACUUUCACUUGGCUUAAUCCUUCCAUUCUUUUUUUGCUGCAUCCUUCAUCAAACUCAGCUCACUUCUCAUUGUACCAGCAUUCCCACUCUCUGUAACACUUCUUUCUUUAAAUGGUAUGUGCUUAGAACUGAUCUAUUGUCACCAUAAUAACAUUAAUCUAAUCAGCUUUUAAAUAAGCCAAUUAUUCUUUACACAGACUAGGCCUAUUAAUUAAGUUAUGUAGCUUAGACUUGUCUAUUUCCAUGAAAAAGGGUAAAGCAAACGUUAAUAAUUUCCAACACAUACUCACAGCUGAUUUUUUAAAAAUAUUGUUUUGCUAAAUUUGCAUUUCUCAUUCUGUAUUCCCCUUUAUUUAUUUAUUUAUUUACUGAUAUAAGGCAAGAGUCUUUCUCGGGUGGCUACACUAAACACCUUGCCAUCUGACUUAAAAACAAUGCCUUAAAUAACUGAUCCUUUUACCUUUUAUACAGACUACUACUUCUUUAGUAUUCUGCAUUUCACAGGGCAUUUUUGUUCCCUAUCUUCAAGAGUUAUUUUCCUCUAUCCCAUUGUAUUCAUCAUGCUUUGGCUUCUUUCAGUUGAGCAGAUAUUAAAGUGUUACUCUGAAAAGAAUUAAAGUUAAGCAUUUCCUCUAAAAUCUAGAGUAUCAGGACAGAAGUACUCAACUCUAAGGUCUACCUACAGAUGUUAUCAAAAUAUGUGCUCAUUAUCCACUGCAGCCUAAAUAAUUGCAAGUUACGUAAUGCUCAAAGGGAAUGAUUCUUUUUGAGACUGAAGGAGAGAGAGAAAGAGGGCUGCAUGUUUCCAUUAUAUUCUCAGCAUCUAAAUAUCAACGGGGAACUUCUUGCCUCUGUGCUACGUGGCUUCUUUCAAACUUUCCUUUUAUUUUUAAGGUUAGGAUUGGUAGGAUUGAUUAGGAUUUAACCAACAUCGUUUAACGUGUUAUUGGCAGAAUUAUUCAUUGUCAUAGACUCAGUGCAGCUGCACAGAUUUCAGGGAGUGGCACAGCACAGAUCUUGAUGAGAAUUAGGAAACCAGAAAUAUAUAUUUGUUGUUGAGAGCCUUAAUGUGAUGUCAGCUUCAGGCUUCAAAACCUAUUUUUUUACUCUCCAUAAAGAAGACAUCUAUGCUGUUGGUUUUUUUUGUUGUUGUUUGUUUGUUUUUUGCUAUAUAUUCCUUUAUUGCUUCAAUUUCUAUUUAGUACACUUGAAAACGGAAAUCUAGGUUUUAGAAAAUGAUAUUGUUAUAUACCACAAUUAAGUCUAAGCCUUACAUUCAUGACAGCUAAAUAAAAGAAGAUAAGCUGGGCUCACAGAAAAAAAAGGCAAGUAAAAAUUUGAGAUUAGCAAAUUACAGUUGCAACUCAGCAGGAUACAGAAAAGCAGUAUUUCAAUGAUAAAAAGAUCAUUAGAGAAGCCAUGUAAAAGAAAAUUUGAAUACAUUCAAAUAGACGAGAAAGCAUGCUAGUAGAGAAACACUUUUGAACUUUUGUGAGUGUGACACUGCAUUUUGAUUGUAUCUCUGUGAUGCUUUUCACUUAAAUAGCUGUGGCUGAGAUGGACAGUUUUCACUCUAAAAUAUUCAUUCCAGGAUGACUUUGACAGCUGUAAUGCAUCUCAGCAUCUUUGUUGGUACUUUAAGACCUGAUAAAGAAUGCAAGUGUUACUUUCAAAGCUUGGAAGACCAAGGCUAAAAGAAUUUCUUAAAAUGGUGUAAAAAAUGUCUGGGAUCUACAGCUGUGAACAGGGCUAAAACUAGUAAUAUUCAGUGGGACUAACAGGACAUUUUACAAGCUGGAAUAAAACCUUGGUCAGUUCAUGAGUCAUCAUAAUCUUGCAAAAGAUUCUGAUGCACUGGCAGAACAUGACACAAAUUCUGAUCAUUCCCUGGUAGGUCACUUCGUAACAACCUGCCUGCUCUUCACAGUAAAUCACAGACACUACAGAGUGGUUUCAGACGUCAAAUCAGCAAGUUCCCUUUGACUUGAUAUUAACAGGAACAAAGCACACAUUACCUUGAAUUUCUGUUCAGAGCAACUCCUGUUGAUGAUACCGUUAAAUCCAUACACAUCUGGUUUUGCUAUAAGCAGGUAAAGCUCUUCAUUCUCUCGGUCCAUUACCUUUUGAUUCACCCUUGUCAUCUGCUAACUUCAUAAGAAGAAAAAGAAUGAACCAGAAUCAUUUCUUGGAGAAUACCACAUGCAACUUUACCAUAUUCUUGCUCACAAGGCUUCAUUGGAAAUGUCUUACACUGUGCCCUACACUUAGUACAGAUGUUCCUUUUCAUUUUCCUACACAUUAAAAAACAAAAAUCAUCAACAAGCUCAAGGUGGAGCUGAGCUGAGAUAUUCAGUAGGAAAAAAAAAAAAGAUGAAUGUAUGUGGCAUAUCACAGCUAAAAGGCAGCCAUUUUUCUACCUUUUUAUUUUUGAGGAGUCUAUUCUACUUUUGGGCUGGGUGUAGCAGAAUUUUCAGGUGAAGGCAUUUUAUAUCCUAUUUCCAUCAUGUUUCUAAUUGAAAAUUAGAAAUUCUAAUUUCUCAUAUUUUCCAGAAUCAAGGUUUCAAAAGUGACUGCUGCUAUUUUGCAGCUCCAGUUUAAUCAAAACCUCACACUGAGGUUUUAGAAAGAAAAAAAAAAAAGAGAGAAAGAAAAAAGAGAGAGGGAAAACAGAGAUGAUUCUAGGACUCAAAUCCUGUCCUUGAUAGUCUUGCCUGCUGGUUUGCUUUCAAAAGCAUUUACAAUUUUCUAUUUACAAAUAUUUCAUUUUUAACAUUUCAUUUUCCUCCCCCCCUGAUUUCCUCCAGCUCCUAUCUACUGCUUUCCAAUUCACAUGAAAACAAUUUCACUCUGAUAAAUUACACCACCCAAAUAUCUUGCACAGUGAUUUCCUUCUGCAGCUUUCCAACUACUUUAUAAAGGAAAGUAAGUUUCAGCACAGUGCUUGCAUGAAUUCUGCAGGGGAGAAGCACAAUGGAUACUUUAUGCAACCAAAAAAUGAUUAAAAGGGGUAUUAGUUCAUUUUUCCCAUCUCUUUUCACAUCAAGAACUGCUCCGUGUAGUACUGCAGUAAUUUAUCUGUAGAAAGUUUAAGUUUGUCACGCAAUAAAAGGUGAUUUACAAAGCUCAUUCAUUUUUUAGGAAGAAACAUACCGUGAAAGAUGUGGUAAACCUACUUCAUCUGGCCUUCUGCCCUCAUAUUAUUUCCUUUUAGUACUCCAAAAAUCUUCUUCAUUAUUGAUGCUUAUCCUUUCACCUAUGAAGAUGUAACACUUCCAUUUAGGAAAGAUACUCUGUGGAGUUCCCACCCAGUCUAGCUGUGCUGCUGACUCAGCAUGCGUUUGCUUGCUGUGAUGCACAAACAGGGACAUGAAGUCAUGGGACAGCAAAAUUAGAUGGGGUUUCUGCUCAUUUCCACUGGGGACAGACCCAACACGAGUGCUUACUUGCUGAGUAUUUGAUCUUUACUCUAACCCAGUGGAUAACAGUCCUCAGCCUCUCCCAGGUUUGUUCUUCUCCUUGGAUUUUCUAGCUUGAAAAAUGUGAGCCAUGGAAAGGUAUAGCAGAAAUAUCUGCACCGCAGCCAGAAAAGAAAGGGAAAAUCCCUCACUGCCUUCUGACAUGACAUUUCUCCUUCCAGCAAGCGUUUAUAAAUUGGCACAUUAUUUCAGCAUCACUCUUGCAAAGAAUCUGUCAGGUCCAUUAGAUUACUUUAAGCAGUUAUAUGCAGCAGCCCCUUUUUAUCCUCUUCCAUGAAAGAUUUUGAAAUCCUAACGGAGCUAUUUCUCUGCUCCACUCAGGUAUCUGCACAAUGCAGAACAAACCUCAAUGAGCUUCUCCCUCUAUCACUGACAUGCACCUCACACCCACUCCUGCAGAAACACAGCAUGGCAGGGGAAACACCUUGCCUUCUGCACAAAGUCUGCAGCUGUUUGCAUUUGGCUGCCCUGGAUUAGGCUGCUAAAUGUGCUAGUUAGCACCACAAUAUUCUGGGGGUAACAGCAUCUGUGGGAAUCUAAGCAGAAGUGAUAAGACAGCACGUUUUCACUGGCAAACAGCAAAUACAAGUCUUCAUUACAGGACUGUUCCAUCUUCCUAUUGUAUUACUUUGUACAUGAUUCUUGUAUAAUUUACUAUAAAAUUUGCACUUUUGCUACUGAAGACAACACUGUUUCUUGUGACCAGAUAACAGUUAGGGCUGUUGUGCCUAGGAAAUAUUUUACCAAGAAGAUAUAAACACAGACUUAAGUCCCUUGUGAAGACCUAAAGCCAGAUUUCACUGUUAUUUCAAAAAUAUUCAGAAGUUUGAUUCAAUUCAGACCCACAGCGAAGAUUUUCAUUCAUUACAGCUGUUGUGAUUAAAUGACUCAGUGACCAAACGAAAUCACAGGGUUUAAAAUCCUGGAGUUAGGAAAGUACUAUCCCAUUGCAGCAACAGGGCAUAGGUCAUCACAUACUAUUUAUUAGCCUGACACUUAAAUUGAAUCAGGGAAAAUGUCACGAAGACGGAAGCUUAUUUAAUGAAAAUGAUGGAGGAAGAACUUACAUGAACACUAUCUUUUAAGAUUUAAAAAUAAGUCCAUGCUUGUUUUAGUAUGGGAAUAAAAUACUGUGGACAUUUUGGCACAAAGGAUGUCCACAUUGUGCUUCCCUUUCCAGUUGAGUUUUCCACAGCAUCCAUGGUAGGCUUUCAGCCCCUUCCUUUGCUGCUUGACAAGGAGGUCUGCUCCUACCUGUCCAAGAGAGGUUUAAUACCACCACCUGUAUCUUCUACAGGACACCAGAUCAAAGUCUGAAAACAGCCCUGUUGGCCCUACGUGCUACAAACCAAAGAUAAUGGGUUGAAUUUAGGUCACCUGAACAUAAAUUUUAGCCACUUCUAUGACUUAAAUAAUGUAAAUGUCCUCUUGGUGGAAGUUUAAUGAAUAUACUUUUGAUAUACAUGUGCAGAGCAUUUCAGACUCAGAGGAAGAACAUUUCUGCUGCAUUAUCACAUAACAGUCAAGGACUAUGUGAUUUCUCACUCAAAACACAUUUUGACCACUAGACAAGCAGUAUAACCACUUUGCCUCCAUUAUAGCUUCACUUCUUUUCUCUCUCUUUUUUUUCUCAUCAGUUAGGACAGUUUAUGUAAUCAGGAUGUGAAUUUCUGCCUUUAUGAGAAAGGAUUUUUACUCUUUGCAUUCACUCAGCAGCUCCCUGGGAUACACUUUUCUGAAGCCACUCAAGGCUAUUAUUUUAUCUUCCAUCGUAUUUUCUAAGAGAUGAACACACAGUACCUGCUAAUUGGCAGAACUGGCUUCUGAGAAGUCAGAAUAGCUUUUGUAAUGGUGCAUCAAAUGGUGCUUAAUUCCCUUUCUGUUGGUCUUGAAAUUGACCUUGGAUUGAACCUCCUGACUUUUGAUUAAUAAUCAACCACACUUCAUCCUUUCACGUGUUCCUGUUUUUAUAUACCAGAGAUCAUUACAUUAAUCCAGCACACUACAGGCUGCCUGUGGGGGCACAGUUUGCUCAUGUUUCAUCAGUAUAUGCCUGAUGUCGAUUAGAGUGGACUCACUUCUUCCAGUUCAACCUCACAUGCAUGGACUGUAGCCACUGGCCAGCCUGAAACAAGUGGCUGUUGCUUGUACAAUAGGCCAUACUCCUUAAGCUAUCUGCACUUUGACUUUUAAUCUCAUCCUUGAGCGAAGCAUUGCUCUGGUACAGAUGAGAAGAGAAGCCAGGCUUGGCCAGGCCCUGCUUACUGCAGAUGGAGCCCCAGACAUGCCCUCCUGGAGCAUGGCUCCUCUGAGGUGCACAUGCCCAGUGUAGCACUGCACCCAGCCCUCACCGCACAGCAGGCCUCACCUCCCACGUGAACACCUGGGCACUACUGGCUGCCCUGCUCAUGCUUCUUCUUGGACUGCCUCCUUCCUGUUACUGGAUUUAUUUUUGUUUUAGACACUGCUGUUGGUCCUAUGUCUAAGAGGAGGAGGUAGGAGAAAGGUCAGGUAUCUGUACCUCAGAGAAAGCAGGUUGGGUUGCAUGAGUGCACUGCAAGGAAAUAGGUUUGCAUUGGGAAAUAAACAGUUUGUUAAGGAUUCUCAGCUUCCUAUAGCACACAUAGCGGAAAUGGUAAGAGCUGCAAUACUGCGUAACUAAAUUUUCCUCCUAAAGUUUUCAAAUUUAGGCAAAUAAGCAUAAGGAACCUCCUUUUCUGAGGAGCCAAAGGUCUUUUAUUUCCCGUUAACUUCACAUGUCACUGUAUUUUUAAAGAGAUGCCAUUAUGCAACAGUUGUGUACCUUUUCUCUGCAAAGAAAAACAACUUUCCCGUCCCCAGUGACCCUGUGCACACUUUACAAAUGACUAAACUGACUCAGUGGUCUGGCGUCUGUGCAGUCUGCAGUUAUGGAUGUCCAGACCGAAGCAGAGAUUUGAAGUGUGUGCAGUUCUAUAUCUGUGCACCUGAAUCUUUUGGCUCUACUCAUCUUAGAAAUACAUUCUGAUCUGGUGGUUUUUAUGUUAAAUGCAGUUACAUUCACCACAGGUGAGAUGAUAUGAUUGAAAAUAAAAGUAGUCAAAGUAAUUCGGAAGCACUGAAAGUUAAUAAUCUAAAUAUUUGUAGGAUUCUAAUGUGCCUAACCAUGCAGUUUGUGAAGCUGAAAUCAGAAACUAAAGAAACAUGGGGAAAGAAAAAGAACGUGUGUUUGCAUUUUAAGAUCUUUAAGUCUAUUCUAUCAUUCUGGUAACAUGAAGCCUUACAGGCAGCAAGAUUUCACUGGUUCAGAAAACCACACAUGAAAAAUAUUACUCUUUCAUCAGACAAGAGAAUGAAGAAUUUGACAAAUGUGAGAGCAGAGACAGGAAACACUGCUUUGUUUAUAUUUAUGUUGCCUCUAUUUGGAGAACUGGGAGGAAAGGUAUUUUUAAAAUACAGGGAGGUCUCCUAUUCUAAAAUCAACAAGGUAUCUUAUUAGCUAUUUACGACAGAUAUAUCCUUACAAGAAAACAAUCUCCUGACUGUUCGGGGGGGGGGGAGGGGGGAGUUGUUUGGUUGUUUGUUUCUUUUGCCCAAGUCAUAAUGUAGGAAUUGUGAGGAGUCACAUUAAAUUUGUCUUUGGUGUAGAAAGGCCCAGUAGCAAUGAUGCUAGGUUCUCUGGAUUUACAAAGGCUUUACACAGCAACCAACAGCAAAGGUUUGGCAAGUCAGAGUCCAGCAUUCAAACUCUUUACGGCCCAUAUUGUGGAUUUCCUGAAGGUCUGUCUCAUCUCCAGAGUUUUCUAAGUCAAAAAUUAUUUUGCUGCACCUCUUUGAAGUUUCAGGCUCAUUUCUGGGUGCAAGUCAUUCUGCAUCACUGGCAGAAUGAGAUAGCAGAGCAGUGUGCUGGGCAUCAGAAGUACCAUGUAUCAGGCAUAUAUCUGCAGGGAAUCUUUCACACACAGUUGCCUCCCUCAGGAUUUCAUCUAAUGAGUCUUUUGAUGGCUCAUAUUUUUAAACAUACCAUAUCCCAAGAUAGUGAAAUACAAAUGCCUUCUUAAUUUUUACUAUAGGAGAGUAUGUGUGACAACAGAAAAAUUGUACUUUUCCAAAUACACUUCCCCUUGUGAUUUCCUUCCUGCUACACCCUUCCUAUCUGCUGCACACAGUAUCAUCUCUUGGUUAAAAAAAAACAACAAAAAACAGAUCUUAGUAUUUCACAUGAGCAAUCAAUCACUUUUCAAACUGGAGCUUAAUAAUAAACCACAAUAAAUCCAUAAUGCAGUUAUCACAUGGGAAUUAAUUCCAGAACAGCCUUUAAUCAAGUCCUUCCAUAAAUAGAUUAAGAGAUUGCAUUUAAUUCCAAAGGUCUUAUCUACCAUUCAAAGCUUGGACAUAUUGCAGGCUCCUUGAACUAAUGGCCCCUCUAACCCAUUUAGCAUUUUUUUGAAUAAAAAUAUCCUAGGUUUUCUGUAACUGUUCAUAAAAACACCAGUUCUACUUUUUUUCUUUUUUUUUUUUUUGAAGUUAAGAUACAUUUUGUCAUGUUAUUUCAGAUAAAUAUGUAUCUGAACAGUAAAUCCUAAUCAUGCCAUCAGUGAGAGAGGAAAGAAAGAAAGAAAAAAAGAAAAAUGGUAAGAGUAGUCACAGAAAGCUGAAAAGAAGGAUAAGGUAAGGGGAAAAUUUGUAUCCUUGCAAAUUUCGUAUUGCUGCCUGUAAGAUUCGAUGAAGUUGAUCUUCAUCAUGGAUGGGUGAGUGGUAGCAGUAUGAAACUUAUUUUAAUACCUUCAGUAGAACAUGCAUUUAUGCACUGCACCUAUUUUUGUUCACCAAGUCCACAUCUAGUUGCUUUCAUUAGAGAAGAGACAGUGUAUCCCUUUGCACUUUUCAGAAGUAGGAAAUGUAUGUAUGCUAUCAGGUGGCCCAGCUUCAUGCAGUUUUCAGGGAAAAUAAGACUGUCAGCAUCCACUGACCAAAGGCAACACCCACUGACACAGCUUUUUAAAAGUUGGCAAUUACAGCCACAGAAAGGAGGAGAUCUUUCUCAUACAUGCACACAAAAACAUAAUGUUGUCUAGGAAGCAGGUAAUAUCCAGCAGUGUUGAAGAGCGUGUAGAACAUUGGACUGUAUAUUGUAUCCUGUGUUCUCUAUUGACAAUUGCUCAGUUAUUUUAAGUUUGCACAACAGUACAGAUAGAGAAAGAGAAAACUUUUCUUUUUUGUUCCUUGAUCACUAGACAGGGAGAAUCUUUUAUCCUGUAGUCUUUGCCCAGCCCGCCAGGCCCCAAACCCUUUAAUUUAUUGUUCACCUCAUAAUCAUAAAUAAAUCUCUUAACACGGUGAAUGCAGGUCAUCCCCAAGUCCUUCAUCCUUUCACUCCCUCCCCACUCCACAGCACUGAUCUCCCCAUUUUUUUCUCUCCUUCCUCACAACAAGAAAAUCCUGAAAAGAUCUUCAUGCUCUGAUCCUUGGCUUGAGAAUGCAGGGAUGGACCUUGUCUGCCAGGUCCUGCCCAUACCCUGGGAGCAUGCCCUGGCGCACAUGGCACCCUGAUGCCACCAUACCAUGACAGAAGAGAGAAUAAAUAAAAAUGUAUCAUCAUCACUGAUAUACGCUAUUGAAUUUUUUUUUUGCUUAUAGCCAUGGUGACCUGGCAAAAGCUAAUAUGAGCUCCGGGUUGACACAUGGAGCCUUACUACAAGAAAUACAAUUUUAUCAUCAUCUGCCAAUUUUCAGUCCCUCACCUGUCAUUACUCCACGUCCUCCACAUUCUGAGCAAAUGUUACCAGUCUGCAUUUAUCACACAGCUGGAAGUUUCUGAGCUCUUCCGGAGUUUAGAAGAUGAAGUCUCAGGUUAUGAGGGAUUUUGUACAUUAACAGGCACAUGUAUGAAUGACAAAAGACUCUCAGCUCUGUGGAAUUGUUGCCAUACUAAUUUUUAAACAACAAAUAGAAACAACUGAGAACACUGGUGUCCCUGUGCAUAACUGUAGGUGUAAAAUAUUACAUCCCAGUAUUAUGCUCAGAUGUUUCCUGAAAUUUCAUCUCUUAACCUUUGGCUCUGGCGUGCAUUUCUGUUCUUACUAGUUCAGAAUCCUUCUGUUUAGAAGGGAUUACAAAUGUCUUAUUAUUACUUUUUUUUUUCUCUUUUUCUUGAGUAAUCUUGUGCAGUAGUCAGAGUCUCACACAUCCUUUCCUGCUGGGUCCCCAACUCUUCCUGGAAGAAACUGAGGAUGGAGCCUUUCACAUCCAGGAUAUUACAUGAAAGUUGCACAGAAAACUGAUAUAUCUCCAAUGACUCACCUGCACCUUUGGAAAAGUCAGUGUUUUUGGGAAACCCAGGCUAUUUGUUUCCAUCUCCAUCAACUCCCUGUGAUACAAACUACUGCACUGUUUACUGGAAGAGCCUGAACAGAAAGUCUACAACUUCAUAUCCACUAGAGCUUGGUUCAGUUCUUUUGCAUUUACAGAAGGCUGGCAGUGAAAUAGCAAAUUGUAUAAUGAGCUUCAAAGGGUCAUGCUGAUAUGAAAUGCAGAGACAGCCCUGAAAUCUGCUGAGGAACCACCCAGAAAGAGCCUGUACAUGCUCAAAUUUCUCACAUCCACCACGUAGCAAUGCAUUCUGCUAACAAGACCAACUAAAUGAACAUUUCUUUUGCUUGUACUUCAAAUUCUUCAUCAAAUGCUGUUUCAGUUUGCUCCACUGCAAUACUGGAAAAUGCCAGAUACACCUGGCAGUGUAGGAUAUAUGUAGCUCCCAGAAGUGCCCUGUACAUUUGCAAGAAAUGAAAUUAUUAAUUAUCUCUGUAUUUAUGUACCUAUUUGAUUCACAAGCUUGAUAGGUUCACUCUAGUGGCUGAUUUACGUGAAUGUUCCUGGGACUGCAUUACUGCAUAAUUAAUCUUUAUAGCAAAGUGGCCUUGUUUCCACAUGGAUGCUGCUUAAAAAAUUGCAUUCAUUUGCACUAUGGAGGCAUAGGCAAUAGGUGGAAAUAUCAAAAUGAGCUGUUCACUCCCUGUUCUGAAAUGGAUGAAAUCUAAAGCUAGUCUUCAUUUAGAUUGGAAGAAGAUGAUCCAGAGAUAUAGCACAGGUGUGUAUAUGUUCCUUAAGUGUAAAGUACAUGAUCUUGUUUAUCUAGAACAGUUAAGGUCAGAAAUUUAUGUAGCCCACAAGUAUAAACUAUUUUCUCCUCAGGAAAACCUCUCUGAUAUAAAGCUGGGAGGAGUGGCUGACACCAGAAGACUGUGCCUUCAGCAAGACUUGGACAGAAUGGAAAGUUGUGCAGGGAGAAACCUCAUUGAUUAACCUUGAUUAACAAGAGCAAGUGUAGAGUCUUGCUCCUGUGGUGGGAUAACCAUGUGCAUCAGUACAGGUUAGGGGAUGACCUGUGGAGAGGAGUUCUGCAGAGAAGGACCUGGGUAUUCUGGUGGACAAUGGGUUGGCCAUGAGCCAGCAGUGGGCCCUUGUAGCCAAGUAGGACAAUAGUAUUCUGGGGCACAUUCAAACGAGUGCGGCCAGCAUGUUAAAGAAGGUUAUCCUCCCUUUCCACUAUGCUCUGGUGAGACGACAUUUAGACUACUGUAUCCAGUUCUGGGCUCCCCAGUUCAAAAAAAAAAAAAACAGGGACCUCCUAGAAGGAGUCCAGCAGGGGGCCAUAAGGAUGAUAAAGGGCCUAGAGAUCUCCCUUAUGAGGAAAGAUUGGGAGACCUGGAUCUGUUCAUCCUGGAGAAAGAAGUCUGAGGGGGUAUCUGAUUAAUGUUUAUAAAUAUCUGAAUAGAGGUGGGAAGCAAAUGGAGGAGGCCGGGCUCCUCUUAGUGGUGCACAGCAAUAGGACAAGGAGUAAUGGCCUAAAACUUGAACAUAGGAAGUUCUAUGUAAAUAUGCUUAAGAACUUCUGUACGGUAGGGGUGACUAACCACUAGAACAGGUUGCCCAGAGAGGUUGUGGAGUCUCCUUCUCAGGAAAUACUCAAGACCUGGCUGAACAUCUACCUGUACAACUUAUCAGAGCAGGGGGCUUGGACUCGAUGAUCUCUUGAGGUCCCUUCCAACUCCUGAGAUUCUGUGAUUCUGAAACAGCAUGCAACAGAUCAGAUAUUUUUUCUUUUGAAACUGGACCUUAAAAAUACAUAUAUAUUUUUUGUUAUCCAAGGAAAUUAACCUGCUUUCUUCAGGUCAAAUAAAUUAUCUGUGGAUACUCAAAGAUAUUUUUGAUUAUUUUGCUUGGUUUCUAAUUGAGAUGGAGGAAGCAAUGAAUUGUUUUACCUAACAUGUAAUGCAGAUAGUCAUCAUACUAUCAAUGGGAAUGAAACAAUUUUUCCUUUUUUUGGUUUUGGUUUUGGUUUCAAAGAUAAAACGAAGAGCACUACUAAGUAGUACAAAAGAACCUUCUGUUUCUACAAAUGCUGGUGACUUAUUCUUACAGCUUAGCCAAAUGAUUCAAACCAGCGUAAUUCCAUCAGCUUUAAUUUGUUUUCCAGAAAGUGAAAGGCAAAACUUGAUGUCUGAGUAAAUAUGUACAUCUUCCUCACAGAUAACCUUCAGUUUUUUUUCUCUGACAAAGCACAGCUGAUAUCAAUCACUUCUCUUUAGAAUUCUGAUUAUAAAGUAUUACUUUGUUUCAGAGUUGGAGGAAGGAAGUUUUUAAGCCUAGAUAAUAAAGCAUAGCAAAUUCUGCAUCUUCCAUUCUUGUGGUUAUGUUUUUAUACAUCCCCUCUGUGGAACUGUACAAUGUAGCAAAGCUUCUACGUGGUCUGAAGGAAAUAAAGGAAAUAAGGAAGGAAAUAAAAUUCACAGGUAGCUUGUGUGUUGAGAGAAAUGAUGCUCUAUGGAUGGGUAGGGAGCAUCCCACCUAUUUAGGGAUUCAGCCUUUGUUGAAGGGCUAGGUUAAAUAGGUUAGAAGCCCAAACUCAGUCCUGCAAUGUAGUCUGCCAGCACGGACUCUCGCGUUCACAUGGACUCGCAGCUGCUCUCAGUGGCACACUGCUGCCUUCACUGGCAAUCCACACUGCCACAUUUUCAUGUAAGACACCUGCUGUCUGCAGCCACAUCAGAUUUUUGAAAUAGCACUCUUCUUCUCUACUGGCACUUAUGAAAGUCAAGUUCUCCCAGAUUAUUCCAUAUUUGCAAGCUGCCUAUCUGCUUCUCUGCUCAAGCAAUCUCUUAUCAGCAGGGAAGUCUGCACUCAGUGAAGUUUCUUGGAACAAAGUGCCACUCUGAUGCACAGUGCUUUCCCACUAUGAGAAGCAUUUAAAGACAAUGAAAGCUGCUAAGAAUACAGGCUGAAAAGAAAAAAACAAGGGAAGAAGAGCUUUCAAGCUUUUCUCCCGUGGAGGACCUUUUCCGCACUUUGCUUCCGUGGAUGCUCCCUGGAAGGAAGAAAUGAAAAUGAACACACUGUUCUGCCCUAACACCAACCAACCACUUAAGUCUUUCUUAAACUGUCAUCACCAAAGGGCACACAGGCAAGCUUAUUGCAGAUUUUUCUAACUGGCAAGCUAAUGGUACCUGGAGAUGAGAGAGAAAACAAAUCCACCAGGGAUGACAAUUUACAGAUAAGAGUAAAGUUGUCAGGACUUAAUUUUUAAAGUUAUGGUAAACAACUAGAAAUGCAUCAGCAUUUGUCCUCUCUUGUCUGCUUAACUAAUAGUGUACAAGUAUCUGAAUGUUUAUUCCCAUGGAGAGCAAAGACCUAUUUAAUAUGUACAAGAAACUAUAACUCGAAUACAUUUAGGGAAAGGAAUUGAAAGGUGAUUAUCGCAAUGAUAGUACUAUCUAUUGGUCUAUGGAAUAGCACACUGAAGGAAGGCAUAAAUUAAAAAAAAAUAAAAAUCUGCAAUGAAAAUGCAAGCAGUGUACUACGCUGAUUAUUAGGAGUAACACUGUGCUUCUUUGUAUU